GCAAUGUGGGGGCCAUGGUCUCAGCCCUGGGAGGGGAAACAUGGCCACAGAAUUCCGAGGGGCCCUCCAUCUUGCCAGCCGAACCCUCCUGCACUGCUCUUUUCCAGGCAUGGGAGCCACAGCAGCAUCUUCUUUCUCUCUUUGCCCUGGCUGCCAGGGAGCUCAGGAUCAAACCAAGGGCUCAAGGGGUCACAAAUAUACACCCCUGAGACCUCAAAGACUCCACCCCAAGGGGCCUGUGCCCAGAUUCUCCUUGGCCCAGGAUCUCUGAGUCAGCUAAGCUGCUGGUGGAGGCUGCCUUCUUCUGGGCCGUCCUGCCCACUCCACCUUCUACCCGCAAGAUGAACCAACAUAUCUUCCAAAGACCAAGCCCUGUGGCCCUCCACUACCCACCUGGCAGGGUGCUUCCCUGUCACCCCUCCUGGAGGCCAGUCGUGG
rnacentral:lncRNA from 1 species